rnacentral:rRNA from 1 species
AAAUUGAAGAGUUUGAUCAUGGCUCAGAUUGAACGCUGGCGGCAGGCCUAACACAUGCAAGUCGAACGGUAACAGAAAGCAGCUUGCUGCUUUGCUGACGAGUGGCGGACGGGUGAGUAAUGUCUGGGAAACUGCCUGAUGGAGGGGGAUAACUACUGGAAACGGUAGCUAAUACCGCAUAACGUCGCAAGACCAAAGAGGGGGACCUUCGGGCCUCUUGCCAUCGGAUGUGCCCAGAUGGGAUUAGCUUGUUGGUGGGGUAACGGCUCACCAAGGCGACGAUCCCUAGCUGGUCUGAGAGGAUGACCAGCCACACUGGAACUGAGACACGGUCCAGACUCCUACGGGAGGCAGCAGUGGGGAAUAUUGUACAAUGGGCGCAAGCCUGAUGCAGCCAUGCCGCGUGUAUGAAGAAGGCCUUCGGGUUGUAAAGUACUUUCAGCGGGGAGGAAGGGAGUAAAGUUAAUACCUUUGCUCAUUGACGUUACCCGCAGAAGAAGCACC